UCUUCCAGCUGAUCAGCGUUAUUAUGGCUCCCAUGUAACUUCUAGGCAAGUCCCGCCCUACGAAGAAGCUCGAUUGGUUGGGGUUAGGCAUUGACCUUGAGUGGUUAAGGUUAGGAUAGCCGAUUGGUCAGGGGAUAGGACAUGAACAAAUCGGGUUACGUUACCUUGCGUAAGCAUGGAUGCCUGGCCAAUAGUAGUGUGUGAAUGCUAUUGAAGGGCGGUUCUUUCCUAGAAGUUGUGUAGGUUUCAUAAU